UUUUUAUAUAUAAUACAAAUAAAAAAAAAAAAAAAAUUAGUAUAAUACAUUUUUGUUUUUGCUUCUAUGUACAAAAUGACAUGGACCUAUUUUUUUUUCCGUUAUAAGUAUUUCACUGUUUAUAUUUUUUAUUUUUUCUUUAUAUUUUUUACCAACACAGAAGAAGAACAAUAGGGAUAUAGACGAAAGUAUUUUUUUUUUUUUUUUUUUUUUUUUUUUUUUAUGCAACUGAUUUUUGUUAAUACAAAAAUCAUCACUCAAUGUGACAUAAAAUAAUACAAUACAACUAUGUAUAUAUUUUAUGGUACUCUUGUUACUUAUUUGCAGAAUCGGAUGAAAUAAAUUUACUUAAAUUAGAGUUAGAAUAUAAAGAUAUGAUAAUAAAAAAAUUAAUAAGAAAAAAAGAAGGUGAAGAGCCACCAAAAAAUGAAAAAAUUAACAAUAAUAACAAAACAAUUGAUCAAAUAAGUAGUUAUGAGAAAAAACUAGAUGAAUUAUAUCAGAAGUACUUAGAUUCUCAAUGUGAUAAUGAAAAUUUGAAAAACAAAAUUAGCAAACUUAACAACACUAUAGAUGAUCUGAAAAAAGAGAACACUGAUUUGUUGAGCAACAUAGACACACUAAGAGAAUAUAUAAACAAGGCUUAUAAAGAAGAUACAAAUGUUCAUCAGUAAUAAUUUUACAUAAAGAUAUAUAAAAAAAACAGAAAAAUAAAUAAAUAAAUAAAUAAAAAUAUAUAUAU
rnacentral:lncRNA from 1 species